rnacentral:rRNA from 1 species
AAUAUUGCACAAUGGGUGAAACCCUGAUGCAGCGACGCCGCGUGAGCGAAGAAGGCCUUCGUGUCUUAAAGUUCUGUUCUAAGGGAAGAAUCGGACGGUACCUUAGGAGGAAGCAACGGCUAACUACGUGCCAGCAGCCGCGGUAAUGCGUAGGGUGCGAUCGUUAUCCGGAAUUAUUGGGCGUAAAGGGUGCGUAGGCGGCCUUUUAAGUGAGAUGUGAAAGGCUACGGCUUAACCGUAGUUAGCAUUUGAAACUAAAAGGCUUGAGUGCAGGAGAGGAGAGUGGAAUUCCUAGUGUAGCGGUGAAAUGCGUAGAUAUUAGGAGGAACACCAGUGGCGAAGGCGACUCUCUGGACUGCAACUGACGCUGAGGCACGAAAGCGUGGGGAGCGAACA